rnacentral:rRNA from 1 species
UACCAGCACCCCGAGUGGUCGGGACGAUUAUUGGGCCUAAAGCAUCCGUAGCCGGUUCUACAAGUCUUCCGUUAAAUCCACCUGCUUAACAGAUGGGCUGCGGAGGAUACUAUAGAGCUAGGAGGCGGGAGAGGCAAGCGUACUUAGUGGGUAGGGGUAAAAUCCGUUGAUCCAUUGAAGACCACCAGUGGCGAAGGCGGCUUGCCAGAACGCACUCGACGGUGAGGGAUGAAAGCUGGGGAGCCAACCGG